rnacentral:lncRNA from 11 species
GACAGCUUCUUGGAUGGGGUGGAGCAAUAAAGGGAGCCAAUAACACAAGGUCAAAGGCAUACACUAGUGCAAGAAAAGUAAGGUGGGGCAAGGGGAAGUGAUGAGAGGAAGCGGAUAGCGGAAAAAAAUCAACGCUUCUUUUUUGGGAGCAAAGAGAUGGACAACUCAAGGCAAACAAUAAGUUAUUUAAGCAAACGGUUUUCUGAACGACUCAGCAGGAGAGCAUGGCCAAGUUUUUUUUCUGUCUUCUGGCUAACUUUCAAUCUGGCCUUGCUAAACGCUUGUGAAUAUGAACCUAAAACAGAUAGUGCAUGCAGUCUGGACCAAAAGACUGUGCAAGAAGGGGGCAGCUUACAUGUGUCCCUGAGCAACUUUGGAAUGAUUCAUGAUGUCUGUGUUUGGAAUAGCACAAUGUCAAAAUGGGAGAGCACCUGCCAUUUCUCUGAUGAUGGAACAUGCAAGCAUCUCAUUUAUAAUCUCAACAUGAAUAUCUCUGUGGAAAAUAAAACUUUGGUCAUGUCGAAUAUGAAGGUAGAAAACAGUGGCCUCUACAGGUUUCGGGACGAGUCUGGAAAUUGCUUGGACAGAAAUGUCUCCGUGUUGGGUAAAUGUUUAUAAGCUAGAAGGUGAAGUGAUAGCUGUACUUAUAGAACAGACUGGGGAUCCCCUGGGCCCUCCUGAUUUUGUCAUGCUCCAGCUCAAUAUAUCAAAUGGCCAGGGGAGAUGGUGACUGUAGUCCCCUCUGCAUAAAGUUAGAUAUGAGAUCCUCCAAGAGUGACAAACCACACAUCCCACUGUUGUGCAGUUGCUGUUUAAGACGUUUAGCCUGGCUCCUCAGCAAAAAGCAAAAUCUUAUCAACAGCAUUCCUACAAUUAACAUACUCUCUUGCCUCACAGCAAAAGUAGUAUUAAAGUCGCACAUGGCAAAUAGCAACACCUCUGCCUCCAGCCUGUAAUGCUGAAUGCUACUGACUACCACUGUGUUAUGC